UACGUAGGGGGCAAGCUUGUCCGGAAUCAUUGGGCGUAAAGCGCGUGUAGGCGGCUCGGUAAGUCUGCUGUGAAAGUCCAGGCUCAACCCUGGGAUGCCGGUGGAUACUGUCGACUCGAGUCCGGAAGAGGCGAGUGGGAAUUCCUGGGUGUAGCGGGUGAAAUGCGCAGAUAUCAAGGAGGAACACCAAUGGCGAAGGCAGGCUCGCUGGGACGUGACUGACGCUGAGACGCGAAAGCGUGGGGAGCAAACAGGAUUAAGAAACCCCUGU
rnacentral:rRNA from 1 species